AAAAGAAACCAACAGGGAUUGCCUCAGUAACGGCGAGUGAAGCGGCAAAAGCUCAAAUUUUAAAGCUGGCACCUCCGGUGUCCGCGUUGUAAUUUUGUGAGGCAUCUCCGGGUGGGGCGCCGGCCUAAGUUCCUUGGAACAGGACGUCAUAGAGGGUGAGAAUCCCGUGCUUGGCUGGCUGUCCCCGUCCAUGUGAGGUGUCUUCGACGAGUCGAGUUGUUUGGGAAUGCAGCUCAAAAUGGGUGGUAAAUUUCAUCUAAAGCUAAAUAUUGGUGGGAGACCGAUAGCGCACAAGUAGAGUGAUCGAAAGAUGAAAAGCACUUUGAAAAUAGAGUUAAAAAGUACGUGAAAUUGUUGAAAGGGAAGCGCUUGAGACCAGACUUCGGUGGGGAGUGAUCAGCCGUCCUUCUGGGCGGUGCACUUGCCCCCCUCCGGGCCAGCAUCGGUUGGGACGGCGGGAUAAAGGUCCCGGGAAUGUGGCUCCUCUCGGGGAGUGUUAUAGCCCGGGUGAAUGCCGCCAGCCCCGACCGAGGACCGCGCCUUCGGGCUAGGAUGCUUGGCAUAAUGGUCUUCAGCGACCCGUCUU
rnacentral:rRNA from 1 species